UACGGAGGGAGCUAGCGUUGUUCGGAAUUACUGGGCGUAAAGCGCACGUAGGCGGCUUUGUAAGUCAGAGGUGAAAGCCUGGAGCUCAACUCCAGAAUUGCCUUUGAGACUGCAUCGCUUGAAUCCAGGAGAGGUGAGUGGAAUUCCGAGUGUAGAGGUGAAAUUCGUAGAUAUUCGCAAGAACACCAGUGGCGAAGGCGGCUCACUGGCCCGAUACUGACGCUGAGGCACGAAAGCGUGGGGAGCAAACAGG
rnacentral:rRNA from 1 species